rnacentral:rRNA from 1 species
UUAAGCAUAUCAAUAAGCGGAGGAAAAGAAACCAACAGGGAUUGCCCCAGUAACGGCGAGUGAAGCGGCAACAGCUCAAAUUUGAAAUCUGGCCCCUCGGGCCCGAGUUGUAAUUUGUAGAGGAUGCUUUUGGCAAGGUGCCGCCCGAGUUCCCUGGAACGGGACGCCGCAGAGGGUGAGAGCCCCGUCUGGCUGGCCACCGAGCCUCUGUAAAGCUCCUUCGACGAGUCGAGUAGUUUGGGAAUGCUGCUCAAAAUGGGAGGUAUAUGUCUUCUAAAGCUAAAUAUUGGCCAGAGACCGAUAGCGCACAAGUAGAGUGAUCGAAAGAUGAAAAGCACUUUGAAAAGAGGGUUAAACAGUACGUGAAAUUGUUGAAAGGGAAGCGCUCAUGACCAGACUUGGGCUUGGCGAAUCAUCCGGCGUUCUCGCCGGUGCACUUCGCCUCGCUCAGGCCAGCAUCAGUUCGCGCCGGGGGACAAAAGCUUCGGGAAUGUGGCUCCUCCGGGAGUGUUAUAGCCCGUUGCAUAAUACCCUGGUGCGGACUGAGGUUCGCGCAUCUGCAAGGAUGCUGGCGUAAUGGUCAUCAGCGACCCGUCUUGAAACACGGACCAAGGAGUCGUCUUCGUAUGCGAGUGUUCGGGUGUCAAACCCCUACGCGUAAUGAAAGUGAACGCAGGUGAGAGCUUCGGCGCAUCAUCGACCGAUCCUGAUGUUCUCGGAUGGAUUUGAGUAAGAGCAUACGGGGCCGGACCCGAAAGAAGGUGAACUAUGCCUGUAUAGGGUGAAGCCAGAGGAAACUCUGGUGGAGGCUCGCAGCGGUUCUGACGUGCAAAUCGAUCGUCAAAUAUGGGCAUG